rnacentral:rRNA from 1 species
UACGUAGGUGGCAAGCGUUGUCCGGAUUUACUGGGCGUAAAGGAUGCGUAGGUGGAUAUUUAAGUGGGAUGUGAAAUACCCGGGCUCAACUUGGGUGCUGCAUUCCAAACUGGAUAUCUAGAGUGCAGGAGAGGUAAGUGGAAUUCCUAGUGUAGCGGUGAAAUGCGUAGAGAUUAGGAAGAACACCAGUGGCGAAGGCGACUUACUGGACUGGUAACUGACACUGAGGCAUGAAAGCGUGGGGAGCAAACAGGG